rnacentral:rRNA from 1 species
UACAGAGGGUGCGAGCGUUAAUCGGAAUUACUGGGCGUAAAGCGCGCGUAGGCGGCUUUGCAAGUCGGGUGUGAAAUCCCCAGGCUUAACCUGGGAACUGCAUUCGAGACUGCAUUGCUAGAGUAUGGGAGAGGGAAGUGGAAUUUCCGGUGUAGCGGUGGAAUGCGCAGAUAUCAGGAGGAACACCGGUGGCGAAGGCGGGUCUCUGGGCAGUAACUGACGCUGAGGAGCGAAAGCGUGGGGAGCGAACAGG